rnacentral:sRNA from 1 species
GCCAGGCACGGUGGCGCAUGCUUGUAAUCCCAGUGGCUCGGGAGGCUGAGGCAGGAGGAUCUUGAGUUCAAAGCCAACCUAAGCAAUUUAGAGAGGUGCUAAGCAACUCAGUGAGACCUUUCCUCUA